rnacentral:misc_RNA from 1 species
GAUGAAGAACGCAGCGAAAUGCGAUAAGUAAUGUGAAUUGCAGAAUUCAGUGAAUCAUCGAAUCUUUGAACGCACCUUGCGCCCUUUGGCUAUUCCGAAGGGCAUGCCUGUUUGAGUAUCGUGAACACCUCAACUCUCAUGGUUUGCCAUGAUGAGCUUGGACUUUGGGGGUUUUGCUGGCCUUUGGUCGGCUCCUCUCAAACGGAUCAGCUUUCCAGUGUUUGGUGGCGUCACGGGUGUGAUAACUAUCUACGCCUGUGGUUUUCUGCCAGAUAACCUUCAGCGAUGGAGGUUCGCUGGGGCUNAUAAAUGUCUCUCUUCAGUGGAGACAGCUUUUUGGACGUUUGAUCUCAAAUCAGGUAGGACUACCCGCUGAACUUAAGCAUAUCAAUAAGCGGAGGA